rnacentral:rRNA from 1 species
UACGUAGGGUGCAAGCGUUGUCCGGAAUUAUUGGGCGUAAAGAGCUCGUAGGCGGCUUGUCGCGUCGUCCGUGAAAACCUGCAGCUCAACUGCAGGCUUGCGGUCGAUACGGGCAGGCUAGAGUUCGGUAGAGGCGAGUGGAAUUCCCGGUGUAGCGGUGAAAUGCGCAGAUAUCGGGAGGAACACCUAUGGCGAAGGCAGCUCGCUGGGACGUUACUGACGCUGAGACGCGAAAGCGUGGGGAGCAAACAGG